GAUGAGGUGGAUGAGUGGUAAAAGCGAUGGACUACUAAUCCAUUGUGCUCUUGAGCAUGGGUUCAAACCCCAUCCUCAUUG